AGCGAACGCUGGCGGCAGGCCUAACACAUGCAAGUCGAACGGAUCCUUCGGGAUUAGUGGCGGACCGGUGAGUAACACGUGGGAACGUGCCCUGUGGUUCGGAACAACUCAGGGAAACUUGAGCUAAUACCGGAUGUGCCCUUCGGGGGAAAGAUUUAUCGCCAUUGGAGCGGCCCGCGUCUGAUUAGCUAGUUGGUGAGGUAAAGGCUCACCAAGGCGACGAUCAGUAGCUGGUCUGAGAGGAUGAUCAGCCACAUUGGGACUGAGACACGGCCCAAACUCCUACGGGAGGCAGCAGUGGGGAAUCUUGCGCAAUGGGCGAAAGCCUGACGCAGCCAUGCCGCGUGAAUGAUGAAGGUCUUAGGAUUGUAAAAUUCUUUCACCGGGGACGAUAAUGACGGUACCCGGAGAAGAAGCCCCGGCUAACUUCGUGCCAGCCGCCGCGGUAA
rnacentral:rRNA from 1 species